UACGUAGGUGGCAAGCGUUGUCCGGAAUUACUGGGUGUAAAGGGAGCGCAGGCGGGAAGCCAAGUCAGCUGUGAAAACUACGGGCUUAACUUGUAGACUGCAGUUGAAACUGGCUUUCUUGAGUGAAGUAGAGGUUGGCGGAAUUCCGAGUGUAGCGGUGAAAUGCGUAGAUAUUCGGAGGAACACCGGUGGCGAAGGCGGCCAACUGGGCUUUAACUGACGCUGAGGCUCGAAAGUGUGGGGAGCAAACAGG
rnacentral:rRNA from 1 species